AAAAAAAAAAUAAUAUAUAUAUAUAUAUAUAUAUAAAUUAAAAUUUCUUCUCUUCCUUUCUUCAACCAAUGACCACCUUUUUCUAUCCUACAAAUCACAAACCACCUCCCACUUGUCCCUUGAUAAGGUAGGAGAUUUCUACGUUGCUUUGGAAAGAAUUUGAUGUUUGAUUUAAGGGCUUGUUGAGCCCUUCUCACGGUGUAGAAAGAUCUAGACAUGCUUUGUCUUCCAUUCCCUUCUCACGGUGUAGAAAGAUCUCACUCGGUGCACCCUCACCUUGUAGACCCACAUGCCACCACCACCCCAACUGUGCCCCAAUCCCAUCUAACUCUCACCCUUUAAACCUGAUUUCCACCCACACCACUUUGCUCACCUCUCUCUUUCUCUGUCCUGCAAAUCACAAACCCAUCUUCAUUUAACCAUCCCCCUUACUAGGUUAAGGACAUUGCUUGGCUGGAAUGGCAAGUUUGGUGUCUAAUUCAAGGAUUCAGUGAGGUUAAAGCAUUCAGAUCUGCAUGUACUUUAUCUUCUAUUCCCUUCACAUGAGUAGAUUCUCGCUACAACCUGACAUUGUAUGCCCCCAUACCACCACUGCCCCAACUUUGCCUUAAUCCCAUCACCCUAUUCCCAUCUCUUAACCUAAACUCCAACCCACCAUUGUUCACCACACAUUUCUCUAUCCUCCAAAGCACAUACCCCUAUUCGAUGUUGGAUUGGAAAGUCCUUGAUGUUUUCAAGGGUUUGCUGACGGCAAAGCAUUCGGAUCAACAUGUGAAUUAUCUUUCAUUACCUUCUCACGAGAUAGGAGGAUCUCACUAUCAACCCUCACCUUCUAGACCCCAUGCCACCAUUUGUUCCAACUUCGCAAAACCCCAUCAACCAUUCCCACCCCCUAGCCCUAAACUCCAUCACCCCACCUUCGUCUACCUCCCUCUUUCUCUAUCCUACAAAUCGCAAACCACUUCUACUUGACCACCCCUUGUGCUGGGGUAGGAAUUUCUAGGUUGGAACGGAAAGGGUUUGAUAUUUGUCUCAGGGGUUUGGUAAGGUCAAGGCAUUCAAAUCUGCAUGUGCAUUGUCUCCUAUUCCCUUUUCAUGAGGUACGAGGAUUUCUCCCUCUCCGCACCCACCUUAUAGACCCCUAUGCCACCACUGCCUCAACUUUGCCUCAACCCUAUCACCCCAUCUUUAUCGCCCAACACAACUCCAACCAUCCCACCUUGUCCAACCCAUAUAUUCUGAGCUCCCUGAUAGGCACCUCUUCCCCUCCCCCCCCCCCCUGCGGCAGCGGGGGGAAGUCCACUUGUAAGUCUUCAUGAUGCCCAGUCUUGCCACCGCCAUGCCCGAAAGCUAAUACUAGUCCCUCAAAAAGAAGAAAAAAUAAUAACAAAAAUCCAAUAUUUAAAAUGGUUUUACCUAAACCAUUAAAUGAGGCGGGCUUUAAUAGUAAAGGGUUAAUUAAACCAUUCUCUCUCUUAGUUAUCUCUUUUUCUAUAUCCUACAAGCUGCUCACUUGACCAUCUCUCCUACUAGAUUAGGACAUUUCUAGGUUUGAUCCAAAAAGGUUUUAUGUCUGACUCGAGGGUUUGGUGAGGUUAAAGCAUUCGAGUCCACAUGUGCUUUGCCUUGCAUUUCCUUCUCACAAGGUGCAGCUUCUACACAACCAGUUCACAGACUCCAAUGCCAUCACUGCCCCAACUUUGGCCCAAUACCAUCACCCCAUUCCCAACACUUAACCCUAAACUACAUUCACCCCUCCUACAAGGGUAAGACAUUUCUAGACUGGAUUGGAAAUAAUUGA
rnacentral:lncRNA from 1 species